rnacentral:rRNA from 1 species
UGAGGAAUAUUGGUCAAUGGCCGGAAGGCUGAACCAGCCAUCCCGCGUGCAGGAUGACGGCCCUAUGGGUUGUAAACUGCUUUUGUACCUGAAGAAACCUGUUUACGAGUAGACAGUUGCCGGUAAGGUAUGAAUAAGCAUCGGCUAACUCCGUGCCAGCAGCCGCGGUAAUACGGAGGAUGCAAGCGUUAUCCGGAUUCAUUGGGUUUAAAGGGUGCGCAGGUGGGAAAAUAAGUCAGUGGUGAAAUACUGCCGCUUAACGGUAGAAUUGCCAUUGAUACUGUUUUUCUUGAGUAUGGUUGAGGUAGGUGGAAUGUGUUGUGUAGCGGUGAAAUGCAUAGAUAUGACACAGAACGCCAAUUGCGAAGGCAGCUUACUAAGCCAUUACUGACGCUGAGGCACGAAAGCGUGGGGAUCAAACAGG